rnacentral:rRNA from 1 species
UCAAACCGCCAGGGAAUUACGAGCCCAAGCUUAAAACCCAAAGGACUUGACGGUGUCCCACCCACCUAGAGGAGCCUGUUCUAUAAUCGAUUCUCCCCGAUAAACCUCACCGCUUCUAGCCUACUCAGCCUGUAUACCUCCGUCGUAAGCUUACCAUAUGAACGCUAACUAGUGAGCUUAAAGAUCUAUUCAUCAACACGUCAGGUCAAGGUGCAGCUUACGAAGCGGGAAGCAAUGGGCUACAAUUUCUAACUUAGAACACACGAAAGACUACAUGAAACACAGUCAUGAAGGCGGAUUUAGCAGUAAAAAGAAAUAGAGAGUUCUUUUUAAUUAGGCGCUGGGACGCGU